rnacentral:rRNA from 1 species
GAGUUUGAUCCUGGCUCAGGAUGAACGCUGGCGGCAUGCCUAACACAUGCAAGUCGAACGGGGUUUAUAUAACAGAACUCUUCGGAGGGAAGAUAUAUAAACCUAGUGGCGGACGGGUGAGUAACGCGUGGGCAACCUGCCCUGUACCGGGGGACAACAGCCAGAAAUGGCUGCUAAUACCGCAUAAGCCUGCGGUGCCGCAUGGCACAGCAGGGGAAAACCACGGUGGUACAGGAUGGGCCCGCGUCUGAUUAGUUAGUUGGCAGGGUAACGGCCUACCAAGACGAUGAUCAGUAGCCGGCUUGAGAGAGUGGACGGCCACAUUGGGACUGAGACACGGCCCAGACUCCUGCGGGAGGCGGCAGUGGGGAAUAUUGCACAAUGGGGGGAACCCUGAUGCAGCAAUGCCGCGUGGGUGAAGAAGCACUCCGGUGCGUAAAGCCCUGUCAGCAGGGAAGAAAAUGACAGUACCUGACCAAGAGCCCCGGCUAACUACGUGCCAGCCGCCGCGGUAAUACC